GACGAACGCUGGCGGCGUGCUUAACACAUGCCAGUCGAACGGAAAGGCCCAGCUUGCUGGGUACUCGAGUGGCGAACGGGUGAGUAACACGUGGGUGAUCUGCCCUGCACUCUGGGAUAAGCCUGGGAAACUGGGUCUAAUACCGGAUAUGACCGACUGUCGCAUGGUGGUUGGUGGAAAGCUUUUGCGGUGUGGGAUGGGCCCGCGGCCUAUCAGCUUGUUGGUGGGGUAAUGGCCUACCAAGGCGACGACGGGUAGCCGACCUGAGAGGGUGAUCGGCCACACUGGGACUGAGACACGGCCCAGACUCCUACGGGAGGCAGCAGUGGGGAAUAUUGCACAAUGGGCGCAAGCCUGAUGCAGCGACGCCGCGUGAGGGAUGACGGCCUUCGGGUUGUAAACCUCUUUCACCAGGGACGAAGCGUGAGUGACGGUACCUGGAGAAGAAGCACCGGCCAACUACGUG
rnacentral:rRNA from 1 species